GACUUGCCCAUGGGCAUGGAAGGAGCUUUAGGAAAGAAACUGAAGCCCAGUGUUGCUUGAAAGAGUCAAGUAAGACCACACGAGGGACUUCCAGAGGGGCAGGAAACAGGGUGAGACGAAGCCAGCCAGAACUGGUAAUGUGACUAAAGAUUCACAGCAGAGGGCUCCUUUCGUUUUCCUGUAGAGACUCAAAGCUCCUCUCCACUGUUCCUGGAAUCCAGAGACUGUUCUAACGAGGCUGAACAAGGCAGCCAUGCUCCACCAAGUCUCUGGAAUUGAGCAAUCCAAACGGCACUCGGGCCAGGGCUAGUAAGCUUCUGUGUGCCCCUUAGUUAUCUGGACAAGUCCAGGGCUUCAGGCAAUGUUGCUGGAGACUGAGACACAGAUCCACGCUGGAAGCGAUAGCACAGUCUGUGGGGUGUGUUGUGGUAUGCUGGGCUUUCCUAAGGCUAAGGCAUGGCAAGUGUGUUUAAAUGUUCUCCUGGAGCGCUCAGCUGGCCGGAUGCUGGCCCAGUGAGCACAAGGUCGCACACUUAAGCUCUAGCACUGCUCAAACUGGUAUGAUGGCACAUGCAAUCAGUCUCAGGACUACGAGGUAGAGGAGGGAGGUUCAGGAAUUCAAGACUGUCCUGGGCUAUAUAAUAAGUUUAGGGACUGCCUGGGCUACUUGAGACUGUU